UACGAAGGGGGCUAGCGUUGUUCGGAAUUACUGGGCGUAAAGCGCACGUAGGCGGACAUUUUAAGUCAGGGGUGAAAUCCCAGAGCUCAACUCUGGAACUGCCUUUGAUACUGGGUGUCUAGAGUAUGGAAGAGGUGAGUGGAAUUCCGAGUGUAGAGGUGAAAUUCGUAGAUAUUCGGAGGAACACCAGUGGCGAAGGCGGCUCACUGGUCCAUUACUGACGCUGAGGCGGCGAAAAGCU
rnacentral:rRNA from 1 species